AGCAACCCCAACCACAGCGAGAUCGAACAACAACAAUGUCUUUGAGCAACAUCUGGUAGCAGACGACGAAAUGAAUUUGAUAUUCGACGAUUCUGUCGAUCGCGCCAUCGCGG
rnacentral:sRNA from 1 species